UGGGGAAUAUUGGACAAUGGGCGCAAGCCUGAUCCAGCCAUGCCGCGUGAGUGAUGAAGGCCUUAGGGUUGUAAAGCUCUUUCGCCGGUGAAGAUAAUGACGGUAACCGGAGAAGAAGCCCCGGCUAACUUCGUGCCAGCAGCCGCGGUAAUACGAAGGGGGCUAGCGUUGCUCGGAAUCACUGGGCGUAAAGCGCACGUAGGCGGAUCGUUAAGUCAGGGGUGAAAUCCUGGAGCUCAACUCCAGAACUGCCCUUGAUACUGGCGAUCUCGAGUUCGAGAGAGGUUGGUGGAACUCCGAGUGUAGAGGUGAAAUUCGUAGAUAUUCGGAAGAACACCAGUGGCGAAGGCGGCCAACUGGCUCGAUACUGACGCUGAGGUGCGAAAGCGUGGGGAGCAAACAGGAUUAGACACCCUGGUAGUCCACGCCGUAAACGAUGGAUGCUAGCCGUUGGGGGGUUUACCUCUCAGUGGCGCAGCUAACGCCUUAAGCAUCCCGCCUGGGGAGUACGGUCGCAAGAUUAAAACUUAAAUGAAUUGACGGGGUCAUAGCUG
rnacentral:rRNA from 1 species